UGGGGAAUAUUGGACAAUGGGGGGAACCCUGAUCCAGCCAUGCCGCGUGUGUGAAGAAGGCCUUUUGGUUGUAAAGCACUUUAAGCGAGGAGGAGGAGCUCUAGAUUAAUACUCUAGAUGCUUGGACGUUACUCGCAGAAUAAGCACCGGCUAACUCUGUGCCAGCAGCCGCGGUAAUACAGAGGGUGCAAGCGUUAAUCGGAUUUACUGGGCGUAAAGCGUGCGUAGGUGGUCUUUUAAGUCGGAUGUGAAAUCCCUGAGCUUAACUUAGGAAUUGCAUUCGAUACUGGGAGACUAGAGUAUGGGAGAGGAUGGUAGAAUUCCAGGUGUAGCGGUGAAAUGCGUAGAGAUCUGGAGGAAUACCGAUGGCGAAGGCAGCCAUCUGGCCUAAUACUGACACUGAGGUACGAAAGCAUGGGGAGCAAACAG
rnacentral:rRNA from 1 species